UACGUAGGGUGCAAGCGUUAAUCGGAAUUACUGGGCGUAAAGCGUGCGCAGGCGGUUUUGUAAGUCUGUCGUGAAAUCCCCGGGCUCAACCUGGGAAUGGCGAUGGAGACUGCAAGGCUAGAGUUUGGCAGAGGGGGUAGAAUUCCGACGUGUAGCAGUGAAAUGCGUAGAUAUGUGGAGGAACACCGAUGGCGAAGGCAGCCCCUCGGGUCAAAACUGACGCUCAUGCACGAAAGCGUGGGGAGCAAACAGG
rnacentral:rRNA from 1 species